UCCUUGUUGCACCACAAGGUGAAUAUAGCUGCCCAUCGACGUUUCCCUGAAAUCCGGUGGGCCACUGUUCACCUAUAGUGACGCAAGGC
rnacentral:pre_miRNA from 1 species